UGGAACGGGACGCCAUAGAGGGUGAGAGCCCCGUCUGGUUGGAUGCCAAAUCUCUGUAAAGCUCCUUCGACGAGUCGAGUAGUUUGGGAAUGCUGCUCUAAAUGGGAGGUAUAUGUCUUCUAAAGCUAAAUACCGGCCAGAGACCGAUAGCGCACAAGUAGAGUGAUCGAAAGAUGAAAAGCACUUUGAAAAGAGAGUUAAAAAGUACGUGAAAUUGUUGAAAGGGAAGCGUUUAUGACCAGACUUGGGCUUGGUUAAUCAUCUGGGGUUCUCCCCAGUGCACUUUUCCAGUCCAGGCCAGCAUCAGUUUUCGCCGGGGGAUAAAGGCUUCGGGAAUGUGGCUCUCUCCGGGGAGUGUUAUAGCCCGUUGCGUAAUACCCUGGCGGGGACUGAGGUUCGCGCAUCUGCAAGGAUGCUGGCGUAAUGGUCAUCAACGACCCGUCU
rnacentral:rRNA from 1 species